UAAAUGUUGGGUCUAAAUGUUCUAGAACAUUCCAUGGCAGCCCUUCUCCCUGACUCCUCCCAGCAGCCACACAGUCCAUAAAGGUCCUUGUUCACAGCCUGUUGCUCCUGGACCCCCUGCGCCACCUUGGGGGCUGUCUCUUGACCGUGAAGCCAGCACCUGACUUUGCCCGGAGGAACUUGGAUCACACGUGUCCCACUGGGCUGCCACAGUGCCCUGACACGUAACUCGUGCAGCCAAGAGGGGCAGCCGUGCCUGCAGCUGUGGGAAACUGAGGAAGCAGCUCCAUGAGCUCUGGUGUUCUGUCCCACGAAGCUGUCCCUGGGGUUGGGGAACUACGGGCCACACUCCUAGUCGCUCUGUGUUCAUACUUGGCCACUUAUUUUGAAUAUUACCAUUAUUACACUGGAAAAAUAUUUUCCCUUUAAAUAUACAAUUUGGCUUUGGGGAAAAAAAUGGUCCUUUCAUUACAUUUUGGAUUCGAAAAAUUUUCCUUCCCAAGGAAUCCAUCUCUAAUGGGACAAUUAAAAUCAAUGAAAAAUUAGGACUCAAUAUGCAGACACUGAUUUUAAAGCUAAUUUCUCUCCUCACAACUGUUAUAACCCCCACCCCGCCCCGCACAUCCUGGUCACUCUCCAGGGACUUUGGCAUUUAGGGCCACUUUACAGCUCGGAAACACAACCAUGAGAUCUUUCUAGAGAAAGAUGCGGGGGCACUUUAGAGCUCAUGACUGUAAAUGCAGCCAGAUCCCCAAGACUUGGACCAAGGGGCCCGGAGCUGUCAACCCAGAGCCGGGAGAGCCCUGGAAGCUCACCCCCCUCUAAACAGACGAUUCAUCCACUUUUUGGAAUAUUUUUUCUCUCCUUUAAGUCCUGCAGGGCUGGACACACCACGGGUACCAGUCCUAGAGGUCGGCGGUUGCUCUAUGACCUACGGCAACCCCUGCACCCCGCUUCACCCUCAUGACUAGGGUGGCCAGAUGUGACCAAAGCAUAAAAAUUAAC
rnacentral:lncRNA from 1 species